rnacentral:lncRNA from 1 species
AGAAAAUGUCAAAAGUAUAGAAUCUCUGAUUAUGGUGGUUAAUGGUCCUCUAUUAACUAUCUUUUUUUUUUUUUUGUACCAGGGAUCGAACUUGGGUCCUUGUGCCUGCACAGCAGGCGGCGAAACCACUGAGCUAAAUCCCCUGCGCUCUGUUAACUAUUUUACUAUCAUUCUUUGUUCAAAGAAUUGGGCUAUUUUGACAUGUAUAAAAAAAUUCCAACAAAUUUAAUUAUAGUUACCCAUGUCCAUGAAGAAAUUCAUGAGAACUUGAAGUGUAUUUUUGUUUCUUACCUGUUUUCAGACACGGAAUCGAUUUGAAGGAACAAGGUCGGAAGUGGAGGAGCUUAUGAACAAAAUCAGGCAGAAUCCCAAGGACCACAAACGAGCAAGUCAGUUCACAGUAGAAGGCUACCUGUACGUCCAGGAAAAAAGGCCAGCUCCAUUUGGUUCCAGUUGGGUGAAACACUACUGCAUGUACCGGAAAGGGGCCAAGAAGUUCAACAUUAUCCCGUUUGAGCACAGAUCUGGGGGGAAACUUGGGGAUGGAGAGGUGUUCUUUUUGAAAGAAUGUACCAAAAGGCACACGGACUCCAUCGACAGAAGGUUUUGUUUUGACAUAGAAGCUGCUGACCGGCCUGGAGUGUCCCUGACGAUGCAGGCCUUCUCAGAGGAGGAGCGGCGACAGUGGCUCGAGGUGCUGGGUGGAAGAGAAGCUCUGUUCCACAGUUUUAAUAGAGCCAUCAUCCCAAGGCCGGAAGGAAGUAAGUGCUAAUUUACAAGAAUGUUACUUUGGUUUCCUUUUGCAUGUGUUACUUUGUGUUCAUCAUGGAUGCCAGAAUGUUGCUUGAGGUACACUCUGUACCCCCUUGAGCUCAUCCUCUGACUACCAUGUGUGUUCUGUCUCAUCCACUGGAGACUUUCUCAAAGUGUCCUAGGCUGCGAUAGCCCUCUUUCACCUUUCUUAUCUGUGACCUUUUCUAUGCAUUUUUUUUCUCUACAGUUCGCUUUGCUGUUUAUUCUUUCAGCCAUAAAUAAUCAUGCAAAAAUUUUGGGAAUGAUCUUGCCUACCUGGUUGAGUUGCAUAAUCCUGUUCCCAAUCUUCCAAACCCUAUCCUUUGUCUGCUAGAUAAAAAAAUCAGUUUCUCCAAAGAACAAUGAUAUUUAUUUGGGAAUAGCAGAGGAUUGCAGUGGGAAUAUGCAUGCCAUAGUAAACUAUGGGUGUAUUCAAAGAUGUUGAGGCAAAAAAAUUUGGUUUUCUUUUUUGGUGCCGGGGAUCAAACUCAGGUAAGGCAGGCACUGGAACCACUGAGCUAAAUUCCCGGCCCAAGGCAAAAAAAUUUUUAAAGUGAAAAUGAGAAGGAUUAUGUCAGGUAUUUUGAAGCAAUAGUCUUUAGCCACAAUGAUGAAUAAGUGGCGCCAACCUGAAGUUGAACAGUUAGUUGUUGGGCAGGUGUCCUUGUAGAACUACUUUUUAUUUUGUUUAUUUUUUGGUAGGAGGUUGCUGUGGUCUCUUUGCAAGCUUGUGGUUUUGACAGAGUCUUCUGUGAUAGUCAUUCUCCAGUAGUCAUGUGGAAAAACUCUUUCACAAGCUCCUGGCUUUUUUUUUU